rfam:Schizophyllum commune H4-8 unplaced genomic scaffold SCHCOscaffold_16, whole genome shotgun sequence.
GCCCUGCUAGCUCAGUGGUAGAGCGUCGCACUCGUACACGUGCUUAUGAUGCGAAGGUCAGUCGUUCAAGUCGGCUGUGGGGCA